rnacentral:rRNA from 1 species
AUUGAACGCUGGCGGCAGGCCUAACACAUGCAAGUCGAACGGUAACAGGAAGCAGCUUGCUGCUUCGCUGACGAGUGGCGGACGGGUGAGUAAUGUCUGGGAAGCUGCCUGAUGGAGGGGGAUAACUACUGGAAACGGUAGCUAAUACCGCAUAAUGUCGCAAGACCAAAGAGGGGGACCUUCGGGCCUCUUGCCAUCGGAUGUGCCCAGAUGGGAUUAGCUUGUUGGUGGGGUAACGGCUCACCAAGGCGACGAUCCAUAGCUGGUCUGAGAGGAUGACCAGCCACACUGGAACUGAGACACGGUCCAGACUCCUACGGGAGGCAGCAGUGGGGAAUAUUGCACAGUGGGCGCAAGCCUGAUGCAGCCAUGCCGCGUGUAUGAAGAAGGCCUUCGGGUUGUAAAGUACUUUCAGCGGGGAGGAAGGGAGUAAAGUUAAUACCUUUGCUCAUUGACGUUACCCGCAGAAGAAGCACCGGCUAACUCCGU